rnacentral:misc_RNA from 1 species
GUGUGCUUCUCUCGAUGUCGAAGGGAGGGUGCUGCUGAGGUUUAAGGAGAGGACGGAGGUUGAUCCGUAUGGAGCAAUUGACGGAGGUCGAGAUCUGUGCGAUUGGCUCGGGGUUGAGUGCUCCGGCGAUGGGGGAGUAGUGGCAUUGAACUUGAAAGAUCUUCGUCUUGAAGGGAUGCUUGCGUCUGGGCUUGGGAAGCUCAGCCACAUGAAGUCUAUGAGUGUUGGGAGUGUGACCAUUCGGAAACUCCUGCAACUAGGUCACAAAUACAAAGGUGGACAUGGUACAACUGUGAAAAAUCGAACCAGUUCAAUUGCAUCCCCAACAGAAGCACCAUCUCCAUCUCCAUUUCCAUCUCAUGUGACUUUGAAGUCCAAAUUUUCUCCAUCAACAU